rnacentral:snoRNA from 1 species
CCCCUCUCCGGGUCGUACCGGGAGAGUUUCCAGUCCUCUACCAGUCUCGGCUAUGAGAGGGAGAAUCAAGCAGAGGCCUAUCCAUUCCGUUCCUAGCUUGGGCAGUGGCUAGCGGGUGGAAGACAAUCUGCUACAAGU